AUGACGGAAAUAAGUGUGUUUUCACAAGCCUUAAUGGACAUGAUGUAUGCCUUGUCAAGAAAAUUGUGACAGCUGUAAGAAUGCAGGAGAUGCAGUAUAUUAAAGAAAUUCCAUAGUAAAGUUUGAAUUUUGGCCAGUGAUUGAUCCAAGGAGGCAGAGAUAAACUUGUCUUUGGGAUGACAUUUAGACAAGCGCCUAUACUUCUUGAAGUCUUCAACUUCAGAAUACCACAGGCUUUGGUGGAGAGCUGCAAAUUUUGACAUAUACUCAGCACCCAGGGCCAUUGAACAGUGAGGGAUUUUUUUCAUGCCAGCACCUACUGCGACAUGGGACCUCUGUUUAUACAGUCUCAUUGGAAGAACCGGUAUCCACAUCUCACAGGUGGAUUCGAACCCACAACAUAAGAUGUGGUAUACCCAAGAGUAUAUUAAUCCAUUUAUCCUGGUGCAGUACCCAUCCUAGUGUAUGUAUAUCUCAGAGUUUGGAUGGUGUUCAUCUCCUGAUGACAAGGGAACAAUUGCAUCUGUGAUGUGGUGUGGCCUAACAGUCGCCAGCAUACCUCCCAAAUCUGCCUCAUCUGAAACAAAAAAGUUACCUACCAUUAAUAAAUUGGAUCCUUUAAAGACAGUAAUUUUGGACAUCUGAUGCCAUAAAUGUACGAAAAUGUAAGAUCUGAGGCAGAGAGUGCACUUCAUUCGUUGGACAGUCAUGGAAGAUAAUACUAGUGUCAUCUUGGCUCCACCAAACAUUUUCUCCAAGUUCCAAGUAAUCAGCAAUCCUUUCAAGAUGGCUUUGAAAUAGUGACAUCCUGGCAUUGAUGAAGCUUUUUUUGAAAAUUGUUGGACCUCUGGUUGGAAGGAAUUUGGCCUGCUUACUAAUGACGGAAUCUUGAUGCUGAAAGGAGUCUGGUUUGACUGGAGUAUUUUGCUGGGCAUUAUAUCUGAUUAUUGCAUUUUUUAGAACAUGUGCUGGUUUUCUGUCGCUGGUAUUUAGGGAAAUAUUGCGCAAGGUUCCAAAGCUUCUUUCUUCAUUUUCUGCAAGAAUGGAGCGUAAGCAAAAGAGACGGUAUAUUUCAGGAGCAUGUGUAACAAGACUAUGAAAAUGUGAUCCAUAGAACUUUCUGUUUGACAUUUUGAUUGGGUUUCCUAUGACUGCUUUACAAAGGUGACCAAAAAUGAAUGUUUGGUUGUAGAGUCGCAGAAUUUGUCGUGGAUUUCUGGCAUCUUCUUUGCUGUAUGCAAUUGAAAUGAUAUCUGUCAAGGAAUUGCAUAAGUCAACAACCUGCUCACUGACUUUGCCCUCAUCAUGCUUUGUUUGUGUAAACUUUGUUAACUUUAAUGCAUAUAAUCUGGCAUCAGACCCCCUGAUUUGAUUUCUAUCCCCAAUUGUGAUAUUGCUAAAUAUCUCAUAUUCUUUCUGUAUUGAUUUGUUUGAUAGAUGGUAUGGAAGCUCCGUAAUUAAAUUGGUGACCAUGUUUGAAAGAUCAUGAAGAGGCUCACACAUUAAAACUUCAUACUUCUCUAGAUUUAGAUCUUUUAGAGGAUUUUGACUUUCUAUACUUGUACAGAAGAGGGCAGGUGGCCUUUGUAUUCCCUCCAAGUGUUCUGCAAGUUGUUUAGAAACGCUCUCUUUCCUUGUGUCCAAAAUAUCCAGCCUGCGCUCAUCUAGCUCAUCAAUAAUUUGUUGGACUUUGAGGUGUACAAAUGGGUUCGGAUUGGUUGAGAUGUUAAAAUUUUGCCACUGAAUGCCAUUUUUGAACAGGUCAAGUCUUGCUUGCAGUGAUUUUGCAGGUUGUCUAAAGCAGCACUCUAAAUUUUGAUGACUGUCCACAUGAACCCCACAUAAACAACUGUAAUGUCCUCCCCUUUGAUGUCCCGAUUCGAACUGUCGUGCAGGAUUAUCUCCACUGAACACACGGAACACAUCUUGAUAUGGAGCAUUUGUAGUUUUGCAGAUUACUGGAGUGUUGAUCUCCUUUAGGUCAUCUGUCCUGGUUUUUACAUAUGUGAGCUGAUCCUUAUCCGAGCUACCGGAUUGGCCAAGUAUGUAAAGGUGAGGCUUUUCUACUAUAGACUGAACAUCAUGUUUUUUGUAGGGAAACUUUUUUCUGAACUCCUCGUUGGAAAGAAAAACGGCAGGAUCAUAAAUGCAAGAAACCAUGAAAUUAACAUACGUAUGAUUUAGUAUGUCUGAAUGGUCGUGCCAGCACUUCCAAUGUCUUGUUCUCUCUGUAGACUUAAGAAGGGUCAAGUUUUCAAUGACAUGUCAUUGAAGGAAUUGGAAGGAUUUUGAAGAGGGGAAUGUACUGAAGGAAGUAUGGAGAUGGACCUAUUUUAUGGGAAGCAAAUCCAUUGUGCCACCUGGAUAUUUUAACUUCUUGUGCUCAUCUGCAGGGGUCAUUUGCUCAUCGAAAAAUAAGGAAAUUGUGAUGUGGUGGAAUAUAGACAUUGUCUGUAGGAAAUCAAAUAAUGGAUUGAACCCAGGUGGAAGAGAGCUGUAUUCCUCAUCUGAUGUACUCCUCAAGACUCCCAGCGUUUCCUGUUCGUUGAGUGAUUGCUCCCUGAUCUUAAGGAGAGUAAACUUCCGACCAUAUAUCUCUUCCUGAUUCACAACAAGCUCACCCGUGUUGUUUAUUUUGUUGGUAUCAAAAACUUUUGGGGCAAUACAAAUACCAAUAUCGUAGAUACCAUCGUUAAUUUUUUGCUCUAGGGUUUUUCUGAUUUUUUUGGCUGGUCUUUGAUGAGGCACAGCUAGUCCACGUACUCUGAGGUACUUUCUCCUGACUCUUUGUAUAAUGUCCCUACCACUUACAAUUUUUUGUGGAUUGAAUAUCUGUGUUUUAAUACCAUUUUCAGAAGCAAACUGCUUGAGAAUUUGACCAGCAUUUGAAGGAAAAAUUCCUGCCUUGUUAGUUAUAUUGUAUUUUUUCCCUAAUGCUGUCCAGUUCACAUUUUCACCUUUGUUUUCUUUUAAUUCAAGUAGAAAAGCUUUUUUGUUAAAUGAGUACUUUUCAAACUUCCCAUGGUGUUUUUUCUGUUUUUUCAAACCCAGUUUUAUUUUGUUAGAAUUUUUUUCAGCAGAUUUUUUUGCAGAUUCUGGAGUUUCAAAAUACUUGUUCAUUCUUUCUCUUUCGUAUUGACUGUAUGAACUACCCGUACACAAAAAAUUGUCUACAUCAUUGUUUGGAUUGAACAAUGUGUCUUGCAUUUUGUAGUUGUUUUCUUUAAGCUUUUUAACAUUUUGUUUUUGUUUUUCUGUUGAAUUUUCUUUUGGUUCUAGGUGGAAUGUUUUUUCAACACAUUCUUUCAAAUCUACAUCCAACUUCUGUUUUAAUAAGGGAUUUAAAGUGUUUAGGAACUUUUGAACUUUCUUGUUUGUUAUUUCAGGGGAGGUAAUUUUAUCUGACAUCAUGGAAUUGGUAACAUUUGAGGACAAUUUUUCAAACUGUAUGGUCUCAUUUGUAGCAGAUGCGUGUAACCCAGAUUCUGUUUGCUGGCAUUUUUGACAAUUGCAUAGUUCAUGAGAUUUUCGUUCUGAUUCAGAGAGCUGAAGCCAGGAGACUAAACUGUAUGUUUCAAUGAAAGAUCUUUUUUCCCCAGAUUUAUUUGAAUUUUUGAAAAAUUUUGAACUGGUGAGAUAGGUUUGAACUCGUGAGACUUUGCGAUGAAACUGACUUUUACUGAUGUACAUUUUUGGAUAUUUAUGCAUGACUUGAGUAUAGAAUAGAUAUCUCUGAUUUUCACUAAUGGUGGUGUCAUACUUUGGUACAUUAUUCUGCAGUUGGGGGCUGCCAUUGACAUAGUUGUUCCAGUAGUUAAUAGCUGAAGAAUCUUUUGAGGAUCUACCAAUAAUUACUUUUGCGAAGUGACAGAGGUUCAUGAUGAAAAGUUGAUAAAUGACUUACAGAUGAUAUUGCAUACUGCCAGGAAUGUUUAUGGUUGCCAAAGAAUUUUAGGUUGAAGAAUAACCAUUCUUCUCAUUGAUUCCGUCUAAAGGUCAUUGGUAGAAGCAUGCCUUGGAAUUUAUAGUCUCAAAAAAAGUUCUUAUUAUUAUUUAAAUGUAUUUUCAUAUUUUUGGUUUUUUGUAAUUGAUUUAUAAAUACUGAUGAAUUUUAUAAAGAUGAAUAAAUUAUUUUUAAAAAUGUA